GACGAACGCUGGCGGCGUGCUUAACACAUGCAAGUCGAACGGACAGGCCCUGCUUUUGUGGGGUGCUCGAGUGGCGAACGGGUGAGUAACACGUGAGUAACCUGCCCUUGACUUUGGGAUAACUUCAGGAAACUGGGGCUCAUACCGGAUAGGAGCUCCUGCUGCAUGGUGGGGGUUGGAAAGUUUCGGCGGUUGGGGAUGGACUCGCGGCUUAUCAGCUUGUUGGUGGGGUAGUGGCGUACCAAGGCUUUGACGGGUAGCCGGCCUGAGAGGGUGACCGGCCACAUGGGGACUGAGAGACGGCCCAGACUCCUACGGGAGGCAGCAGUGGGGAAUAUGGCACAAUGGGCGGAAGCCUGAUGCAGCAACGCCGCGUGCGGGAUGACGGCCUUCGGGUUGUAAACCGCUUUCGCCUGUGACGAAGCGUGAGUGACGGUAAUGGGUAAAGAAGCACCGGCUAACUACGUG
rnacentral:rRNA from 1 species